GGCUGAUUGGGUGUUGGCGGCGGUUCUCGUAAUGCGUAGGUCGUGGGUUCGAUUCCCACAGGCG
rnacentral:tRNA from 1 species